GACAGAGGGUGCAAGCGUUGUUCGGAAUUAUUGGGCGUAAAGGGCGCGUAGGUGGCCAAGUAAGUCAGAUGUGAAAGCCCAGGGCUUAACCCUGGAAGUGCAUCUGAGACUGCAUGGCUUGAGUCCCGGAGAGGGUCGUGGAAUUCCCAGUGUAGAGGUGAAAUUCGUAGAGAUUGGGAGGAACACCAGUGGCGAAGGCGGCGACCUGGACGGAGACUGACGCUGAGGCGCGAAAGCGUGGGGAGCAAAC
rnacentral:rRNA from 1 species